GGGGAAUUUUGGACAAUGGGGGCAACCCUGAUCCAGCCAUGACGCGUUAGUGAAGAAGGCCUUCGGGUUGUAAAGCUCUUUCGGCCGGGAAGAAAUCGUGCAGGCUAAUACCCUGUAUGGAUGACGGUACCGGAAUAAGAAGCACCGGCUAACUACGUGCCAGCAGCCGCGGUAAUACGUAGGGUGCGAGCGUUAAUCGGAAUUACUGGGCGUAAAGCGUGCGCAGGCGGUUUUGUAAGACAGGCGUGAAAUCCCCGGGCUCAACCUGGGAACUGCGCUGGGGAAGGCAAGCCUAGAGUACGGCAGAGGGGGGUGGAAUUACACGUGUAGCAGUGAAAUGCGUAGAGAUGUGGAGGAACAACAAUGGCGAAGGCAGCCCCCUGGGUCGAUACUGACGCGCAUGCACGAAAGCGUGGGGAGCAAACA
rnacentral:rRNA from 1 species